rnacentral:lncRNA from 13 species
AUGACCUCUUUGCUGAGUGAUGACGAAGAGCGAUAUGUCUCCUCACCUGAGGGUGGUGAUAGAGAGAUGAGACACAGACCCCACUCGGCACCACUGAGUUCUGUGUUUGGAAUCUCUGAGGAUUCUGUCUUCAACAUGGUCCAGAGAGGCCAGUCGCAGAGUGGCAUCGUACUGUCAUCCAGUUGGAGUAGACGGGAGAAAUACAGACCUGUCAAAAUACCAACGGACACCAGGUUUAUGAUGGUUAUUGUACCCAGGUCGGUCACACCAGCUUGCUCUUCUUACUCAGACACCAGCAAUGCUGCAAGUGACAUCACUCAUGGUAUUGUGGCUGACCUUAAUGCUACUGAGGAAUUCCCUGCCAGGGGCCUUAGCCCGGCUGAUGUAAAGGCUGACGGCAUGGCCCGCCUUCCCUCUGCCAGGGGGGAAGAGACUAAGAAGAACAGGAAGUGGCAUUUCCNNNNNNNNNNUCUGCCAAAGCCAGCACUGAGGAAGCUGUCAAAGCACGAUGCGUCAGAGCUCGUUUACAGCUUUGCCCAGACUUCUGUUAGCAGACUCCUGGGGCAGUGUUUGGUUAGGCCUAUGCCACCCACCGCUGACAGGGUUUUGGAUCAGGUCAUCAAGUUGAUGACAGACAUGGUGAUGGACAGCCUGACUGAUCUGUCCAAGUCUGCAAUGGAGGAUGGUAAGUGAAAGUACCUCUUCAUCUGCAUAGGACUUCAUUGUAACAUGAUGCUCACUACAUUGCAUUUUAUGAUGUGAACUUUGCUGUUUGCGUCCAAAAUGGCACCUUCUUCCAUAUUUAGUGCACUACUUUUGACCAGAGCCAGACCCUAUGGGCCCAGUUCAAAAGUUGUGCACUAUAAAGGGAAGAGAAGGCCUUUUGGGACACAGUGACUGAUUUCCAUUGUUGCGUCCUCUUCUCCCAGUUAUUGUACCCAGGUCGGUCACACCAGCUUGCUCUUCUUACUCAGACACCAGCAAUGCUGCAAGUGACAUCACUCAUGGUAUUGUGGCUGACCUUAAUGCUACUGAGGAAUUCCCUGCCAGGGGCCUUAGCCCGGCUGAUGUAAAGGCUGACGGCAUGGCCCGCCUUCCCUCUGCCAGGGGGGAAGAGACUAAGAAGAACAGGAAGUGGCAUUUCCUGCACAAAAUUGUCAAGAUUCCAAAGAUCAGGAUUAAGGUAGAGGGCUCAGUGUCUUUAGAUUACCUCUGUAAGGCAGGGCUGAAAUGUACCCUACAUAUUCACUAAACCCCUAUUGUCUCUGCAUUAGAACAAUGCUGUUGUCAUUGUCUUUAGGAGGUUGAGUGAGGCCGCUGUAAUACAAUCCUAAUACACAUGGGAGCGAGAGAGUCAAUGGAUGUGUUCCAAAUUGCACCCUAUUCCUUAUAUAGUGCACUACUUUUGACCAGAGCUCGAUGGGCCCUUGUCAAAAGUAGUGCCUUAAGUAGCCAAUAGGGUGUCUUUUGGGAUCCAUGCCAUAUAUUUUACACAGGCUCAGUUGUCCUGAUGUGUUUUGUCAACAGCUGUUCAAGACAAAGGGGGAACCGAAGAGCCACCCUGAACAGGAUUCUCUGCCUACCAAACGUCUCAGAGAGACUCGUAUUUCACAGGGUAAGUGAUAAGCAUCGAUAAUGUCAUAUUGAUGUAUCACCCUAUGGCCAGCUUGUUAAAACGGUGACUACAGAUACAGGCGGACAGACAGAUACACACAUUCAUUUUCUGAUUAUGAAAUAUUAUUUUCACAGAUGCUGAGUGUGAGGUUCCAUCCACUUCCCCACCCAAAGAGGACCUGACAACCACACUGGCCCCUGCUCCCCAGGAGUCCCAGUCCCGUAAACGCCCUCUCAUAGUCAGGGUGUUACGAGCUAUCUCCAGAGCCGUCUCCAAACCAUUCAGAGAAGCUUUUGGGAAGAAGAAUUAGCCAAAUGCCAGAUUUUAUUACUAUUUUAAUCAGAGCCUUUAUUUAAUAAAACAUUACUGCAUGGAUUUCUGUCUAUAGUCGUCUUACUGUUUGUGCAAGAUAAUGGUACCACAUUGUCAAACAUAGUUAUAGUGAAGCACUGUUUAUGAUUAUUGAUUGUGGAAAUCACAUUUUAAUACAGAAAAGAUGUCGUCACAUAAAGACAGACAUAAAGGAGAAAACUCCGUCGACUAUUCACAUGAUCAAGACACAACUAAAGCCAUGAAUGGAUCAUAUUAUUAUACCUUGAUUUCAACAAGGAACACAGACUGAGACCAAGGUGUCUUUUACAGCUGGGCCCUGCGUAGACAUGUUACACAUUCAGUUUAGCUACAAUGAUUAAGAAACUACACAAGACAAACAAGACCAUCACAGAUAACACACAAAUACAGCAGCAGAUUAUUACGUUUGCACACAGGUUAUUCCCCUAACAGCACAAUAACUUGCAUUACCCGAAAGUUACAAGCAAUACAGAAAUAAAAAUCCUCCAAUAAUUAUUUAAAAUGGGCAACAGGGGGACAAGAGUCUCAAAUGUAAGUUUAGUCUGCAGGCUUUUCCAUUGGCAAGGAGCGUAACAGGAAAAGGCAGCCAUACCCAACUCUGUGGAAAUCGCAUGGACCUCAAGCGUAAUCCAUGCUUGAGACCUGGUUUUAGGAAUUCUAAUUCUAAUAUUGAUGAGUGAUGAUAAAUAAGAUGGUAGUUUAUUCAGAAGUGCUUCAUAGACAAACACAAGAACAUAUUCUCGUCUCAUGGACAGCGAAGUCCAACCCACAUUUUGAUACAAAACACAGUGGUGAGUUCUGUAGCUAGCGUCCGUAAUAAACCUAAGUACUCAAUGAUAAAUAGCAUCCAG